rnacentral:lncRNA from 1 species
GAAGUGAAGCCCAGAAGCAGGGCACAGCACGGCUUUCAUAGACAGGAUAUUCUGUGGCUGCAGGGUUCGGCGGUUACAGGGAGGCACCAGACACCAUCUGUUCCCGGGGAGCGAUAGGGCGCGUUUACAGGAGCACAGCGAGCGAGCAGCUGUCCAGUGGGGAGUUCCAGCACUCUCUGCUCACCUCAAAGCCUGCCAUCAGACGCUGGGCCAGGGAAGGCAUCGUGUCCAGAGGAGGAAGGCCAGGCCGAAGCAAGGAGGCCGCCAACACUCUCUCUGGUUGGCAGGCCAGUUGGAGAACUGGUCACCUACAGCCUCUGCCGCACUCAGCCGGAGAGGGACACUUCCUGGGAGCAGCCGUGUCCACGCAGCCAGGGCUUCAGCCAAGUGCUCAGCACCCAGGAGCCCCGAGGGGAGGCAGAGCCCUGGACAAACCUCCUCCUGAGUUGAGAGCAUCAUUCCCUUUGGGGAGCCUUCCUUGG